rnacentral:tmRNA from 1 species
GGGGCUGAUUCUGGAUUCGACGGGAUUUGCGAAACCCAAGGUGCAUGCCGAGGGGCGGUUGGCCUCGUAAAAAGCCGCAAAAAAUAGUCGCAAACGACGAAAACUACGCUUUAGCAGCUUAAUAACCUGCUUAGAGCCCUCUCUCCCUAGCCUCCGCUCUUAGGACGGGGAUCAAGAGAGGUCAAACCCAAAAGAGAUCGCGUGGAAGUCCUGCCUGGGGUUGAAGCGUUAAAACUUAAUCAGGCUAGUUUGUUAGUGGCGUGUCCGUCCGCAGUUGGCAAGCGAAUGUAAAGACUGACUAAGCAUGUAGUACCGAGGAUGUAGGAAUUUCGGACGCGGGUUCAACUCCCGCCAGCUCCACCA